AUGGGUUGGAGAACGCAUGAUGGGCAAGGUGGUGCUUUCAGGCUUCUCUUACUUGAACACCCUCUUUGCAGACAAUCUUCAAAGGUGUGUCCUCGUUCACACAUUAUUCACUCGUUUGCACCCAGUCUGCCGUUGCCAAGGAGCAGCUUCGCUUGGGAAAGUCAGCGUUCCUCAUGGACGAAGAGGAAGGCUCCUUCUUCCCGGCUUGUAUCUUCUCUGAGCGGGGUUCUCCAAUGUGCUGUCAGAUAACCCGGGAAAGAGAAGAGAAACGGCCAGAUCCCAGCACAAAAGAGGUCUUCCAUCCAUCCGCCCCACGGUCCCUCCUGACAUCCUCCUUAUAGCGUGUCUGCCUGGAAGUGGUUUUCUCUGCCGAUAGCAGCUGAAUCACUGAGCUGUAGAUUUGGAAGGAAACCCAGGGGUCAUCUAGUCCAACCCAAUGUCAGUUCAGGAACAGGAUAGUUCAGGUCUUUGGCUGCAGGGCCAGAGGUUGGGAGUUCGAUUCCCCCACUGUGCCUCUUUGAUAGGAGCUGGACUCCGUAACCCAUUGGGUUCUUUCCAGCUGUGCAGUUCUAAAACUAUGAUGAUGGCUGUACCCUAAAGCAUCUGGACAGGUGGCAAUCUAAACUCUGUUUGGAAACAUCCAACUUAUGCAAGUCCACCACCUUCCGAGGUAGUCCAUGACACUGCCAAGCCCUUCUCCCCCUGAGGAUGUUCUUACUGGCACCUCUCUCUCUCACUCCUCUAGUUUGCAUCAGUGGGUUGUUCUCUGGAGCAGCAGGGGGAAAAGGUUCAGCGUGGCAGUUCUUCAGCUCUGGUGUGCCUGUGUUGACACUGCCAAGCCCUUCUCCCCCUGAGGGUGUUCUUACUCAUAUUUUAGCUGGCACCUCUCUCUCUCCCCCUCUAGUUUGAAUCAGUGGGUUGUCCUCUGGAGCAGCAGGGGAAAAAGGUUCAGCGUGACAGUCCUUCAGCUCUGGUGUGCCUGUGGGUGUGUUUUAUACAACUGCAGAGGGAAGGCGCUCCCAAGUUGUAAGAAAGAAAUAAAGAUCAAAGUCUUGCAAUUAGUCUUGCCCGA
rnacentral:lncRNA from 1 species